UUGAGUUUGAUCGUGGCUCAGAUUGAACGCUGGCGGCAGGCUCUAACACAUGCCAAGUCGGAGCGGUAGCACAGGGGGGAGCUUGCUCCCUGGGUGACGAGCGGCGGACGGGUGAGUAAUGUCUGGGAAACUGCCUGAUGGAGGGGGAUAACUACUGGAAACGGUAGCUAAUACCGCAUAACGUCGCAAGACCAAAGAGGGGGACCUUCGGGCCUCUUGCCAUCAGAUGUGCCCAGAUGGGAUUAGCUAGUAGGUGGGGUAAUGGCUCACCUAGGCGACGAUCCCUAGCUGGUCUGAGAGGAUGACCAGCCACACUGGAACUGAGACACGGUCCAGACUCCUACGGGAGGCAGCAGUGGGGAAUAUUGCACAAUGGGCGCAAGCCUGAUGCAGCCAUGCCGCGUGUGUGAAGAAGGCCUUCGGGUUGUAAAGCACUUUCAGCGAGGAGGAAGGUGGUGAGCUUAAUACGCUCAUCAAUUGACGUUACUCGCAGAAGAAGCACCGGCUAACUCCGUGCCAGCCGCCGCCGUAACACAAA
rnacentral:rRNA from 1 species